rnacentral:lncRNA from 1 species
AACAAGUGAAAGGCUGGAAAAGUAAAUAAAACACGGCAGAUUCUGUCAUUUCUAUUUGGAUGGAACUUCAACACAUGUGGUAUCUUCAUCAAACAUUUGGUGACUGACAUAACAAAUAAAGAAAAUGUGAUGGAAGCUGUAAGAAAACCGAAGGUGUAUGAAAGCUUUGAAGCUCUGCAGCAGAGGCAAAACCUUUUUUUUGGAGGACUGUGAGUUGUAACAGAAGAACUGAUAUUUUCAGAGAUGAUGAAGACUUGAACAUGGAGCCUUUUCAAACAUGGUAGGCCCUCAUAGAUUCUUCACCUAACUAAAUCUCAGGGAUUUGUUUCAUCCACACAUAAGGCAAGCAAACAAAUCUUCUGUUUUAGGUGUCAGGCAAAAGAGCACACAGGUGCGCAGACAGUGAUUUUCAAAUUCCAUGGUCUUUGGAGAGAUGUGUGGCUACAAAAGGCAUUUAGACCUUAAUAGGCAAUUUGUAAAAUGAGCAUUAGCCAUAAAUAAUAACAAUUUCAAGACUCCUCAGUUUUAUAUUGAGCAUUGUCCUUUAGACUCUUCUGACAACUGACAGAAGUGUAAUUAACUCCAUUCACUGAUUUAUCAUUUUGGCCCAGCUUUUGCCCAUAAAAACCUUGUGUGUAGUAAUCAUGCAACAGUCAGAGAGUCAUCCACUUUAACAGAGGCGUGAUUAGUGUGAUUGACACAAAUCUUAUGUAAAUGGUUUCCUUAUACAUCUGGUAUUUUUGGAUGCAAAUAGCCUGUCAUCUUACCAAACUUUCUGACAAUGUUACUGAUCUUAAAUUUUAAGAGAAUACAGAGGAGUAUAUAAAUGUUGCCCAUGGGAUAUACAGCACAGAAAAGAAGCAUAUUCUGUUCCAUGACAAAUGCAGACCUAAUGAUCACAUGUGUUAUGUGAAGUCUCCUUGAUAAAUUUUGCCCUGUUUGGGAUGUAGAUUAAAUAGAUCCUUUCAAUUGUGUGAAAUGCUACUUUUAAUUAUAUAAAUUUGGAAAAAAUAAGAAAUAAUAAUAAACCCAGAACACUUUGUUACCCA